rnacentral:rRNA from 1 species
AUUUGAUAGUACCUUACUACUUGGCAUAACCGUGGUAAUUCUAAAGCUAAUACAUGCUGAAAACCUCGACUUCAGAAGGGGUGUAUAUAUAAAAUAAGGCAAAAGACCAAAAAAAAUUUUUGGUUCCUUAUAUCUUACUCAGUUACUUGGAUAACUGUGUGAUCGCACGGUCUCCGUACCGGCGACGCAUCUUUCAAAUGUCUGCCUUAUCAACUGUCUAUGGUAGGUUCUGCGCCUACCAUGGUUGUAACGGGUAACGGGGAAUCAGGGUUCGAUUCCGGAGAGGGAGCCUGACAAACGGCUGGUUGUCACGGGUAACGUACCUCCGUUUAAGGUGAACCCGCGGAUGGAUCAUUAAAUCAAUUAUGGUUCCUUAGAUCGUACCCACGUUACUUGGAUAACUGUGGUAAUUCUAGAGCUAAUACAUGCACCCAGAGUCCCGACCAGAGAUGGGAGGGACGCUUUUAUUAGAUCAAAACGAUCGCAUGGUCCAUUACCGGCGACGCAUCUUUCAAAUGUCUGCCUUAUCAACUUUCCAUGGAAGUUUCUGCGACUACCAUGGUUGUCACGGGUAACGGGGAAUCAGGGUUCGAUUCCGGAGAGGGAGCCUGAGAAACGGCUACCACAUCCAAGGAAG